GAAACCCACUGCUCGUAAUUGAGCAGUAUCCAUAUCUGAAUUCAUAGGAUAUGAGAAGGCAGACCCGGGGAACUGAAACAUCUAAGUACCCGGAGGAAGAGAAAGCAAAUGCGAUUCCCUGAGUAGCGGCGAGCGAAACGGGAUUAGCCCAAACCAAGAGGCUUGCCUCUUGGGGUUGUAGGACACUCUGUACGGAGUUACAAAAGAACGAGGUAGAUGAAGAGGUCUGGAAAGGCCCGCCAUAGGAGGUAACAGCCCUGUAGUCAAAACUUCGUUCUCUCCUGAGUGGAUCCUGAGUACGGCGGAACACGUGAAAUUCCGUCGGAAUCCGGGAGGACCAUCUCCCAAGGCUAAAUACUCCCUAGUGAUCGAUAGUGAACCAGUACCGUGAGGGAAAGGUGAAAAGCACCCCGGAAGGGGAGUGAAAGAGAUCCUGAACCCGUGUGCCUACAAGUAGUCAGAGCCCGUUAACGGGUGAUGGCGUGCCUUUUGUAGAAUGAACCGGCGAGUUACGAUCCCGUGCAAGGUUAAGUUUGAAAAGACGGAGCCGCAGCGAAAGCGAGUCUGAAUAGGGCGCAUGAGUACGUGGUCGUAGACCCGAAACCAGGUGAUCUACCCAUGUCCAGGGUGAAGUUCAGGUAACACUGAAUGGAGGCCCGAACCCACGCACGUUGAAAAGUGCGGGGAUGAGGUGUGGGUAGGGGUGAAAUGCCAAUCGAACCUGGAGAUAGCUGGUUCUCUCCGAAAUAGCUUUAGGGCUAGCCUCAAGGUAAGAGUCUUGGAGGUAGAGCACUGAUUGGACUAGGGGCCCCUACCGGGUUACCGAAUUCAGUCAAACUCCGAAUGCCAAAGACUUAUCCUUGGGAGUCAGACUGCGAGUGAUAAGAUCCGUAGUCGAAAGGGAAACAGCCCAGACCGCCAGCUAAGGUCCCAAAGUAUACGUUAAGUGGAAAAGGAUGUGGAGUUGCUUAGACAACCAGGAUGUUGGCUUAGAAGCAGCCACCAUUUAAAGAGUGCGUAAUAGCUCACUGGUCGAGUGACUCUGCGCCGAAAAUGUACCGGGGCUAAACGUAUCACCGAAGCUGCGGACUGUUCUUGCGAACAGUGGUAGGAGAGCGUUCUAAGGGCUGUGAAGCGAGACCGGAAGGACUCGUGGAGCGCUUAGAAGUGAGAAUGCCGGUAUGAGUAGCGAAAGAGGGGUGAGAAUCCCCUCCACCGAAUGCCUAAGGUUUCCUGAGGAAGGCUCGUCCGCUCAGGGUUAGUCGGGACCUAAGCCGAGGCCGAAAGGCGUAGGCGAUGGACAACAGGUUGAUAUUCCUGUACCACCUCCUCACCAUUUGAGCAAUGGGGGGACGCAGGAGGAUAGGGCAAGCGCGGUAUUGGAUAUCCGCGUCCAAGCAGUUAGGCUGGGAAAUAGGCAAAUCCGUUUCCCGUAAGGCUGAGCUGUGAUGGCGAGCGAAAUAUAGUAGCGAAGUUCCUGAUUCCACACUGCCAAGAAAAGCCUCUAGCGAGGUGAGAGGUGCCCGUACCGCAAACCGACACAGGUAGGCGAGGAGAGAAUCCUAAGGUGAUCGAGAGAACUCUCGUUAAGGAACUCGGCAAAAUGACCCCGUAACUUCGGGAGAAGGGGUGCCCCGGUAGUGUGAAUAGCACGAGGGGGCCGCAGUGAAAAGGCCCAAGCGACUGUUUAGCAAAAACACAGGUCUGUGCGAAGCCGCAAGGCGAAGUAUACGGGCUGACGCCUGCCCGGUGCUGGAAGGUUAAGGGGAGUGGUUAGGGGUAACCCGAAGCUAUGAACCGAAGCCCCAGUAAACGGCGGCCGUAACUAUAACGGUCCUAAGGUAGCGAAAUUCCUUGUCAGGUAAAUUCUGACCCGCACGAAUGGCGUAACGACUUGGGCGCUGUCUCAACGAGAGAUCCGGUGAAAUUUUAAUACCUGUGAAGAUGCAGGUUACCCGCGACAAGACGGAAAGA
rnacentral:rRNA from 1 species